rnacentral:rRNA from 1 species
UCCAGUUUAUCCUGCUGGAGGAUGCAGCUAUUUGGUUUGGGCUUAGACAUGCAAGUCUGACGCAAGUCGGCGAACUGCUCAGUAACAUGUAGUUAAUCUGCCCUUAGGUCAGGAAUAACCACGGGAAACUGUGGCUAAUACCUGAUAGAGGUAGUGUGCUGGAACGCAUAUACCUUGAAAGGUUUCGCCUAAGGAUGAGACUGCACUCGAUUAGCUUGUUGGUGGGGUAACUGCCUACCAAGGCGAUGAUCGAUAGGGGCUCUUAGCGGAGUCGCCCCGAGAAGGAAUCUGAGACACUAUUCCUAGCUCUACGGAGUGCAGCAGUCGCGAAUCUUUUGCAAUGCACGAAAGUGUGACAAAGCGAGCCAAAGUGCAUUUCUUUUUGAAAUGCUUUUCUUCACUUUAAAAAUGUGGAGGAAUAAGGACUGGGAAAGACCGGUGCCAGCCGCCGCGGUAAUACCGGCAGUCCAAGUUGCAUCCGAUUAUUGGGUCUAAAACAUCCGUAGCUUGUUUGUUAAGUCUCUUGUGAAAUCCAACGUCUCAAGCGUUGGGCGAGCGGGAGAUACUGAUAAACUAGAGAUCGGUAGACGUAAGGAGUACGCUGGAGGUAGUGGUUAAAUACGUUAAUCUUCGGUGGACUAACAAUUUAGCGAAGGCACCUUACGAGGACGAAUCUGACAGUGAGGGAUGAAGGCCAGGGGCGCAAAACGGAUUAGAUACCCGUGUAGUCCUGGCAGUAAACACUGCUCACUAAACAUCGGGCCCUCUUCGGGAGGAUUCGGUGCUGAAGCGAAGGCGAAGAGUGAGCUACCUGGGAAGUAUAGUCGCAAGAUCGAAACUUAAAGGAAUUGGCGGGGAGACAUACAACGAGUGACGCGUGCGGUUCAAUCAGAGUCUACACCGUGAACCUCACCAGGAGCGACAGCAGAAUGAAGGUCAGUCUGAAGGGCUUACCUAACACGCUGAGCGGAGUUGCAGUGCCGACGUCAGCCUGUGCAGUGAUGUGACUUGUUAAAUCAAGUAACAGGCGAGAUCCGUGUCAAUAAUUACUACAGAAAUGGGUACAUUAUUGAGACUGCCUUGGCAACAAGGAGGAAGGUGCGGGCUACGUCAGGUGGACCGACCCAAAUCCCCUGGGCUACACGCGCGCGGCAAUGGCAGACACAAUGAGAUGCAACUCUGAAAGGAGAAGCUAAUCCCCUAACGUCUGUCUCAGUUCAGAUCGAGGGUUGCAACCCACCCUCGUGACGUUGGAAUUCGUAGUAAUCGGAUUUUAUCAUAGUCCGGUGAAUAAGUCCCUGUCUCUUGCACACACCGCCCGUCAAACCAACCGAGUUAUGCAGGGUUGAAGCUCUUUAGAGAAGAAAUUUUGUAUGACAAGGUAGGUUAAGUCGGCACAAGGU